rnacentral:lncRNA from 1 species
CCCCGCGCCGGAGCCGGAGGGGAUGCGGGCCCACGGGGACCCCCGCGCAGAAACUUACCCGACGGGGACACAGGAGGGCAGGAGAGCCCGAAGGACUGGCGAUGCCGACCCUGAGGCUGGCAUCCGUGACGCACCACAUCGGGUCAUCUGGGUAUCCGGGGUUUCCAGGGUACCUGCCAGACCAGGAACAGUCGCUCCCGAGGUCCUCAGAGAUGCUGGUGUCUCCUCUCAACUGUCUGCUCAACAGCGACCUAACCGCGGAGGUGAAAGUCCUGUACUCCGAGCACUGAUAGAACACCGAUGAAAGAAUUCAAGACGACACAAAAAAUGGAAAGACAUUCCGUGCACGUGGAGUGGAUGUACAAGUAUUGUUUAAAUGUCUAUACUGCCCAAGGCAAUUUACACACUUAAUGCAAUCCCUACCAAAUACCCACAGCAUUUUUCACAGAACUAGAACAAAGAAUCCUAAAGAUCCUAAAAGACUCUGAACAGCCAAAGCAAUCUUGAAAAAGCAAAGCAAAGCCGGUGGCCUCACAAUUCUGGACUUCAACUUACGUCAUGAAGCUGUAGUGAUCUAAACAAUAAGGCACUGGCAUGAAAUUGGACACAUCGAUCAAUAAAACAGAACAGAAAACCCAGAAUUAAGCCCACGACCCUAUGGUCAGUGAAUCUUCGACAACGUAGGAAUGGAUAGCCAGUGGGAAAAAGACUCCAUCUGCAAAAAGUGCUGUUGGCGAAAUUGGACCACUUUCGUACAGAAUACACAAAAAACAAAUUCAAGAUGGAUUAAAGACCUAAAUGUGAGACCUGAGACCAUAAAAGCCCUAGAGGAGAACACAGGCAGUAACACUUUAGACAUGAGCCAUAGCAAUAUCUUUCAAGAUACACCUCCUGAGGCAAGGGAACAAAAGCACAAAUAAACUAUUGGGACCUCAUCAAAAUAAAAACUUCACAGCAAAGGAAAUAAUCAACAGAACUUAGGCAUCCUAUGCAAUGGGAAAAGAUAUGUGCAAAUAACAUAUUUGGUAAAGCAUUAGUGUCCAAAAUAUAUAAAGAACUUGUACAAAUCAACACCCAAAUAAACAAAUAAUCCAAAUUAAAAAUGGACACAGGGCAACCGGCUGGCUCAGUCAGUGGAGCAUGCAACUCCUGAGCUCAGGGUUGUGAGUUCUAGCCCCAUGUUGGGUGUAGAGAUCACUGAAAAAUAAAAUCUUAAAAAAGGUUUUUUUUUUCCUUAAUAAAAAUGGGCAGAAGACAUAAACAGACAUUUUCCCAAAGAAGACAUACAGAUGACCACAGAGACACGAUAAGACGUUCACCAUCCCUCAUCACCAGGGAAACGCCAAUCAGACCUACAAUGAGCUAUCACCUCACACCUGUCGGAAUGGCUAAACUCAACAACACAAAAAGCAACAGGUGUUGGCGCUGCUGGUGGGAAUUCGAACUGGCGCAGCCGCUCUGGAAAAGGGCGGAGGCUCCUCAGGAAGUUAAAAAUAGAACCGCUGUAUGACCCAGCAGUUGCACUACUGAGUAUUUACCCAAAGAAUACGGGAGCACUAAUUCAAAGGGAUACGUACAUCGUGCUAUUUCUAGCAGCUUUAUCUACAACAGCCAAAUAUUGGAAGCAGCCCGUGUAUCCACUGAUUGAUGAAUGGAUAAAGGAGAUGUGGUAUAGGGGCGUUCGGGGGGCUCAGUGAGUUAAGUGUCCAGCUUCGGCUCAGGUCAUGAUCUCAUGGUUCGUGGGUUCGAGCCCCGCAUCAGGCUCUGUGCUGACCGCUCAGAGCCUAGGGCCUGUCUUCGGAUUCUGUGUCUCCCUCGCUCUCUGGCCCGCCCCUGCUCGCGCGUGCACACUGUCUCUCAAAAAUAAAUAAAAAACAUUAAAAAAAAAAGAUGUGGUAUAUAUGCACCAUGGAAUAUUACUCAGCCAUAAAAAAUAAUGAAAUCUUGCCAUUUGCAAUGACAAAGAUGAAUCUACAGUGUAUUACGCUGAGCAAAAUAGGUCAGAGAAAGACAAAUAGCAUAUGAUUUCACUCAUAUGUGGGAUUUAAGAAACAAAACAAGCAAAGGGAAAAGAAUAAGAAAGAGACAAACCAAGAAACAAACUCUUAAUUAUAGAGAAGAAACCAAUGGUUCCCAGAGGGGAGAGAGUGGGCGGAUGGG